rnacentral:rRNA from 1 species
GGUUAAGCGACUAAGCGUACACGGUGGAUGCCCUGGCAGUCAGAGGCGAUGAAGGACGUGCUAAUCUGCGAUAAGCGUCGGUAAGGUGAUAUGAACCGUUAUAACCGGCGAUUUCCGAAUGGGGAAACCCAGUGUGAUUCGACACACUAUCAUUAACUGAAUCCAUAGGUUAAUGAGGCGAACCGGGGGAACUGAAACAUCUAAGUACCCCGAGGAAAAGAAAUCAACCGAGAUUCCCCCAGUAGCGGCGAGCGAACGGGGAGCAGCCCAGAGCCUGAAUCAGUGUGUGUGUUAGUGGAAGCGUCUGGAAAGGCGCGCGAUACAGGGUGACAGCCCCGUACACAAAAAUGCACAUGCUGUGAGCUCGAUGAGUAGGGCGGGACACGUGGUAUCCUGUCUGAAUAUGGGGGGACCAUCCUCCAAGGCUAAAUACUCCUGACUGACCGAUAGUGAACCAGUACCGUGAGGGAAAGGCGAAAAGAACCCCGGCGAGGGGAGUGAAAAAGAACCUGAAACCGUGUACGUACAAGCAGUGGGAGCACGCUUAGGCGUGUGACUGCGUACCUUUUGUAUAAUGGGUCAGCGACUUAUAUUCUGUAGCAAGGUUAACCGAAUAGGGGAGCCGAAGGGAAACCGAGUCUUAACUGGGCGUUAAGUUGCAGGGUAUAGACCCGAAACCCGGUGAUCUAGCCAUGGGCAGGUUGAAGGUUGGGUAACACUAACUGGAGGACCGAACCGACUAAUGUUGAAAAAUUAGCGGAUGACUUGUGGCUGGGGGUGAAAGGCCAAUCAAACCGGGAGAUAGCUGGUUCUCCCCGAAAGCUAUUUAGGUAGCGCCUCGUGAAUUCAUCUCCGGGGGUAGAGCACUGUUUCGGCAAGGGGGUCAUCCCGACUUACCAACCCGAUGCAAACUGCGAAUACCGGAGAAUGUUAUCACGGGAGACACACGGCGGGUGCUAACGUCCGUCGUGAAGAGGGAAACAACCCAGACCGCCAGCUAAGGUCCCAAAGUCAUGGUUAAGUGGGAAACGAUGUGGGAAGGCCCAGACAGCCAGGAUGUUGGCUUAGAAGCAGCCAUCAUUUAAAGAAAGCGUAAUAGCUCACUGGUCGAGUCGGCCUGCGCGGAAGAUGUAACGGGGCUAAACCAUGCACCGAAGCUGCGGCAGCGACGCUGAUGCGUUGUUGGGUAGGGGAGCGUUCUGUAAGCCUGCGAAGGUGUGCUGUGAGGCAUGCUGGAGGUAUCAGAAGUGCGAAUGCUGACAUAAGUAACGAUAAAGCGGGUGAAAAGCCCGCUCGCCGGAAGACCAAGGGUUCCUGUCCAACGUUAAUCGGGGCAGGGUGAGUCGACCCCUAAGGCGAGGCCGAAAGGCGUAGUCGAUGGGAAACAGGUUAAUAUUCCUGUACUUGGUGUUACUGCGAAGGGGGGACGGAGAAGGCUAUGUUGGCCGGGCGACGGUUGUCCCGGUUUAAGCGUGUAGGCUGGUUUUCCAGGCAAAUCCGGAAAAUCAAGGCUGAGGCGUGAUGACGAGGCACUACGGUGCUGAAGCAACAAAUGCCCUGCUUCCAGGAAAAGCCUCUAAGCAUCAGGUAACAUCAAAUCGUACCCCAAACCGACACAGGUGGUCAGGUAGAGAAUACCAAGGCGCUUGAGAGAACUCGGGUGAAGGAACUAGGCAAAAUGGUGCCGUAACUUCGGGAGAAGGCACGCUGAUAUGUAGGUGAAGCGACUUGCUCGUGGAGCUGAAAUCAGUCGAAGAUACCAGCUGGCUGCAACUGUUUAUUAAAAACACAGCACUGUGCAAACACGAAAGUGGACGUAUACGGUGUGACGCCUGCCCGGUGCCGGAAGGUUAAUUGAUGGGGUCAGCGCAAGCGAAGCUCUUGAUCGAAGCCCCGGUAAACGGCGGCCGUAACUAUAACGGUCCUAAGGUAGCGAAAUUCCUUGUCGGGUAAGUUCCGACCUGCACGAAUGGCGUAAUGAUGGCCAGGCUGUCUCCACCCGAGACUCAGUGAAAUUGAACUCGCUGUGAAGAUGCAGUGUACCCGCGGCAAGACGGAAAGACCCCGUGAACCUUUACUAUAGCUUGACACUGAACAUUGAGCCUUGAUGUGUAGGAUAGGUGGGAGGCUUUGAAGUGUGGACGCCAGUCUGCAUGGAGCCGACCUUGAAAUACCACCCUUUAAUGUUUGAUGUUCUAACGUUGACCCGUAAUCCGGGUUGCGGACAGUGUCUGGUGGGUAGUUUGACUGGGGCGGUCUCCUCCUAAAGAGUAACGGAGGAGCACGAAGGUUGGCUAAUCCUGGUCGGACAUCAGGAGGUUAGUGCAAUGGCAUAAGCCAGCUUGACUGCGAGCGUGACGGCGCGAGCAGGUGCGAAAGCAGGUCAUAGUGAUCCGGUGGUUCUGAAUGGAAGGGCCAUCGCUCAACGGAUAAAAGGUACUCCGGGGAUAACAGGCUGAUACCGCCCAAGAGUUCAUAUCGACGGCGGUGUUUGGCACCUCGAUGUCGGCUCAUCACAUCCUGGGGCUGAAGUAGGUCCCAAGGGUAUGGCUGUUCGCCAUUUAAAGUGGUACGCGAGCUGGGUUUAGAACGUCGUGAGACAGUUCGGUCCCUAUCUGCCGUGGGCGCUGGAGAAUUGAGGGGGGCUGCUCCUAGUACGAGAGGACCGGAGUGGACGCAUCACUGGUGUUCGGGUUGUCAUGCCAAUGGCACUGCCCGGUAGCUAAAUGCGGAAGAGAUAAGUGCUGAAAGCAUCUAAGCACGAAACUUGCCCCGAGAUGAGUUCUCCCUGACUCCUUGAGAGUCCUGAAGGAACGUUGAAGACGACGACGUUGAUAGGCCGGGUGUGUAAGCGCAGCGAUGCGUUGAGCUAACCGGUACUAAUGAACCGUGAGGCUUAACCUUACAACGCCGAAGGUGUUUUG